rnacentral:rRNA from 1 species
UACGGAGGGUGCAAGCAUUAAUCGGAUUUAUUGGGCGUAAAGGGCGCGUAGGCGGAAGCGUAAGUCAGAUGUGAAAGCCCGGGGCUCAACCCCGGAACGGCAUUUGGUACUGCGUUUCUAGAGGGUAGGCGGAGAAAAUAGAAUUCCACAAGUAGCGGUGAAAUGCGUAGAUAUGUGGAAGAAUACCGGUGGCGAAGGCGGUUUUCUAGCUUAUACCUGACGCUGAGGCGCGAAAGCGUGGGUAGCAAACAGG